CUAGGAAAUCAAAUGAUCAAUAAAAGGUAAAAAAAAUUACAAUAACCUAUUGCGUGAUAAUAAUAAUACCACUGUCUAUGAAUGAUUACUAAUCAUGGAAUUGAUUUUUAUAGGAACUGGUUUUUUUUUUUUUUUUUGAAAGUAUACGUACAUGAUGAAUGUUAUUAAACAUGUAAUUGACACAACGAAUACAAAUAGCUUAAAAUAGCUUAGAAAUAGCACUACAUUCAACAUAAAGUAGUGUUAUUAUACUCAACAUCGGUCAUCGAGUGUAUAGGUAGGUACACUUGAUGUCCUAUUCGAUAAUUAUUCAUUAUUGAAUGUUAAAAUUGUGCAAAUGAUAUAAAAUUCGUUGUGAAAAAUAUUCCUCGUAUCUUCUCUACCGUUGUAUUGUUGAUAUACAUCACCUAUUUUUUUUAUUUUUUAUUUUUAUUUUUUUUUUUGAGUUCGAUCCUGAUUCUUCAACGGUGGUUCUUUUCCGAUAUGAUUGGAUACAUUAAAUCGAUGAAUUUAACACGGGUAGCUCCACUAGUAAAUAGGUACAGUGAAACAUAACGGUCGAAAUCACAGUUGUGACGUGAUCACCUAGUGAUAUCAUAUCAUUAUUUGUAGUAUAAAAUUGGUACACCGAUUAAAAAAAAAAAAAAAAAAACCGGGAUUUGUGUACAAUCGCUUUUAAUUGCGUGCCGGACUCAUAUUCUCGCCUUUAAGUUUGAUAAUAAGCCAAUCGACUGUGCCGUUGAAACUUGAAAUUAACAGCACGAAAACGGAUUUGCUGAACGAAAAUUUAACGUUAUCCAUU